rnacentral:rRNA from 1 species
GACGAACGCUGGCGGCGUGCUUAACACAUGCAAGUCGAACGGAAAGGCCCUGCUUUUGUGGGGUGCUCGAGUGGCGAACGGGUGAGUAACACGUGAGUAACCUGCCCUUGACUUUGGGAUAACUUCAGGAAACUGGGGCUAAUACCGGAUAGGAGCUCCUGCUGCAUGGUGGGGGUUGGAAAGUUUCGGCGGUUGGGGAUGGUCUCGCGGCUUAUCAGCUUGUUGGUGGGGUAGUGGCAUACCAAGGCUUUGACGGGUAGCCGGCCUGAGAGGGUGACCGGCCACAUUAGGACUGAGAGACGGACCAGACUCCUACGGGAGGCAGAAGUGGGGAAUAUUGCACAAUGAGCGGAAGUCUGAUGCAGCAACGCCGCGUGCGGGAUGACGGCCUUCGGGUUGUAAACCGCUUUCGCCUGUGACGAAGCGUGAGUGACGGUAAUGGGUAAAGAAGCACCGGCUAACUACGUG